rnacentral:rRNA from 4 species
AAAUUGAAGAGUUUGAUCAUGGCUCAGAUUGAACGCUGGCGGCAGGCCUAACACAUGCAAGUCGAACGGUAACAGGAAGCAGCUUGCUGCUUUGCUGACGAGUGGCGGACGGGUGAGUAAUGUCUGGGAAACUGCCUGAUGGAGGGGGAUAACUACUGGAAACGGUAGCU